UACGGCGGGAGCUAGCGUUGUUCGGAAUUACUGGGCGUAAAGCGCACGUAGGCGGCUUUGUAAGUUAGAGGUGAAAGCCCGGGGCUCAACUCCGGAACUGCCUUUAAGACUGCAUCGCUUGAAUCCAGGAGAGGUGAGUGGAAUUCCGAGUGUAGAGGUGAAAUUCGUAGAUAUUCGGAAGAACACCAGUGGCGAAGGCGGCUCACUGGACUGGUAUUGACGCUGAGGUGCGAAAGCGUGGGGAGCAAACAGG
rnacentral:rRNA from 1 species